rnacentral:rRNA from 1 species
AUUGAACGCUGGCGGCAGGCCUAACACAUGCAAGUCGAGCGGAUGAGUGGAGCUUGCUCCAUGAUUCAGCGGCGGACGGGUGAGUAAUGCCUAGGAAUCUGCCUGGUAGUGGGGGACAACGUUUCGAAAGGAACGCUAAUACCGCAUACGUCCUACGGGAGAAAGCAGGGGACCUUCGGGCCUUGCGCUAUCAGAUGAGCCUAGGUCGGAUUAGCUAGUAGGUGGGGUAAUGGCCCACCUAGGCGACGGUCCGUAACUGGUCUGAGAGGAUGAUCAGUCACACUGGAACUGAGACACGGUCCAGACUCCUACGGGAGGCAGCAGUGGGGAAUAUUGGACAAUGGGCGAAAGCCUGAUCCAGCCAUGCCGCGUGUGUGAAGAAGGUCUUCGGAUUGUAAAGCACUUUAAGUUGGGAGGAAGGGCAGUAAGUUAAUACCUUGCUGUUUUGACGUUACCAACAGAAUAAGCACCGGCUAACUUCGUGCCAGCCGCCGCCGUAAGAC